rnacentral:rRNA from 1 species
UACGUAGGGGGCAAGCGUUUGUCCGGAUUUAUUGGGCGUAAAGAGCUCGUAGGCGGUUCCGUAAGUCGUGAAGUCAAAUCUCUGGGCUCAACCCAGAAUCGCUUCCGAUACUGCGGUGACUGGAGUCCGGUAGGGGAGUGUGGAAUUCCUGGUGUAGCGGUGGAAUGCGCAGAUAUCAGGAGGAACACCGGUGGCGAAGGCGGGUCUCUGGGCAGUAACUGACGCUGAGGAGCGAAAGCGUGGGGGAGCAAACAGG